AACCAUUUUGUUGAUUUCUUUCUGUUCUCCCUGGCAUUUUGUUAGUGGGGAAGAAAUAGAGAGUAGUUGAUAAACAAAUGCUCAAGUCAUAAAACUAAUACAAUAAUGUAAUAGUUCUUUUUUUGAGAUUUAACUCUGUAACAAGUUACAGAAACUUAGUUUCUGUAUGACUUGAAAUCCAUCUGUAGCCUGUUUUCUUAUCUGUGUUUUCAGUGCUUCAUACCAGCACAGGAUCUUUUUUUUUCCA
rnacentral:lncRNA from 1 species